rnacentral:rRNA from 1 species
UAACGCGUUAAGUCGACCGCUGGGGAGUACGGCGCAAGGUUAAAACUCAAAUGAAUUGACGGGGGCCCGCACAAGCGGUGGAGCAUGUGGUUUAUUUCGAUGCAACGCGAAGAACUUACCUGGCCUUGACAUCCACGGAAUUUGGCAGAGAUGCCUUAGUGCCUUCGGGAACCGUGAGACAGGUGCUGCAUGGCUGUCGUCAGCUCGUGUUGUGAAAUGUUGGGUUAAGUCCCGCAACGAGCGCAACCCUUAUCCUUUGUUGCCAGCGAUACGGUCGGGAACUCAAAGGAGACUGCCGGUGAUAAACCGGAGGAAGGUGGGGAUGACGUCAAGUCAUCAUGGCCCUUACGGCCAGGGCUACACACGUGCUACAAUGGCGCAUACAAAGAGAAGCGACCUCGCGAGAGCAAGCGGACCUCAUAAAGUGCGUCGUAGUCCGGAUCGGAGUCUGCAACUCGACUCCGUGAAGUCGGAAUCGCUAGUAAUCGUAGAUCAGAAUGCUACGGUGAAUACGUUCCCGGGCCUUGUACACACCGCCCGUCACACCAUGGGAGUGGGUUGCAAAAGAAGUAGGUAGCUUAACCUUCGGGAGGGCGCUUACCACUUUGUGAUUCAUGACUGGGGUGAAGUCGUAACAAGGUAACCAAGGGCGAAUUCUG